UGCAAAAGCUGGAAAUGAAUCAACGGUGAAAACCCUAGUUUCGCAAUCUCAAGAUGUAGCGGGAGGAGGGAACAAUAAUUUAUUAAGGGCCAAGAAUGUGAGAGGAAACAUAGCCUUGCAUGAAACGUUGAUCAACGGCCGGGAUUCGAUUGCUCUAUAUUGGAUUGAAAAAGACCCCGAGGUAUCGUAUUAUGAAAACAAAGAAGGAGAAUCGGCAUUGUACUUGGCGGCCAAAGCUGGUUCUGCAGAAUGCGUCUCUUAAUCGCAAAUCAACAGAAAGUACUCACCCAUUCAAGCAGCUAUAGAGGGGAAGAAAAGAGGUACAACUUGACGAUUUGGGAGUUCCAAGGAUGAAACGAGCCAAAAAGUUCAAAAACGGGCAAAAACGGAAUAAAACAAUCGGAUGCUGAAAAUUGGCCUGCGCGGCUGUGCCAAAUUUAGCCUAUUUUUGGCGCGGCCGUGCCAACACUGCAGAAUUCGGGUAUAAAGUUUCGGCGAUUCUCGCGCGAGAAUUGCUCUGAUUCUUGCGCGGCCAUGUGAAAACACGCUGGAGACAAUUUUGGACUUUUAAUCACACAAGGAAACCUAAAAUCUUCUACCGAGUUGGGACAUCUAUUUAAGGGCAAACCAAGCACGAAUAAGAAGACUUUUUACACAAUUCACUACGUUUUGUCAUAAUGUAUAAAAAUUUGCAUAUUGAACUGAUGUUGUCUCUGUUUAAUUUGUUCAUGCAGCGUUUGACUUGGGCUGCCUUGAAAGCUGGUGGCACCCCUCAUUCUCCGACUGGGAAUACAAUAGGUAGACAGAACCCAAAGAAGAGUUCGAACUACACCAUGUACGUACACCUCCAUUGUAGUGGCUGUGACUCUCAUUUGGGCUCAAUUAGGUGACAUCAAAUUAGCACUGAAUGCACUCACUUUUGCAGUGCCAUUGCUCGGGAUUGCUCUUUGCAUGAUGUCAAUUGUUUUCUUAGUAGUCAGCAAACUCAGAUGGCUAAGUACUGCCGUACUUGUCAUGGCUAUUGUAUUUCUUGUUAUUAUGUUCAUCAUCCUCGUUCCAAUGUGCGGUUCACAUACUUCAAGUAAUCGGAUAGUACGCUAUCUGUCCUACUAUCCCUUCUAUCUGUUGAUAUUAGCAAGCAGCAGCUAAGCCAAAGAAGUCAUCUUGCAUGAAAUCGAGAUGUUUGCUUGUAUUGCUAAUCCAUUUUUUUCUUAAUCGACUAUUAUAAAUUAU